CUGACGCUGAGGCACGAAAGCGUGGGGAUCGAACAGGAUUAGAUACCCUGGUAGUCCACGCCGUAAACGAUGAUUACUCGCUGUUGGCGAUACACUGUCAGCGGCUAAGCAAAAGCAAUAAGUAAUCCACCUGGGGAGUACGGCCGCAAGGUUGAAACUCAAAGGAAUUGACGGGGGCCCGCACAAGCGGAGGAACAUGUGGUUUAAUUCGAUGAUACGCGAGGAACCUUACCUGGGCUUAAAUGUAGAGUGCAUUUUCUAGAGAUAGGAAUUCCCUUCGGGGCUUUCUGCAAGGUGCUGCAUGGUUGUCGUCAGCUCGUGCCGUGAGGUGUCGGGUUAAGUCCCAUAACGAGCGCAACCCUUAUCGUUAGUUGCCAUCUGGUAAAGCAGGGGACUCUAGCGAAACUGCCACCGUAAGGUGAGAGGAAGGUGGGGAUGACGUCAAAUCAGCACGGCCCUUAUGUCCAGGGCUACACACGUGUUACAAUGGUCGGUACAGAGGGCAGCUACCUGGUGACAGGAUGCUAAUCUCGAAAACCGGUCUCAGUUCGGAUCGAAGUCUGCAACUCGACUUCGUGAAGCUGGAUUCGCUAGUAAUCGCGCAUCAGCCAUGGCGCGGUGAAUACGUUCCCGGGCCUUGCA
rnacentral:rRNA from 1 species